GUGUCCCUGCCCCCUGCAAUUUGAAUACAGCCACCUCCACAGCACAGAAAAGGAAGAGAAAAGCUCCACCGGUCACGUCUGUCACGCCACCCAUGGCACUACUCUCAGAAGACACCACCUGCUGUGCUCGCUGUGGGGAGCAUGAUCCGCCUACAAGCUACCCUCAGGAGUGUAGAUCCGAGGUGCCAUGGGUGUGCUGUGACUUCUGCCAGCACUGGUUCCACUGCAGG